CUGAAACCGUGUACGUACAAGCAGUGGGAGCCUCUUAAUGGGGUGACUGCGUACCUUUUGUAUAAUGGGUCAGCGACUUAUAUUCUGUAGCAAGGUUAACCGAAUAGGGGAGCCGAAGGGAAACCGAGUCUUAACUGGGCGUUAAGUUGCAGGGUAUAGACCCGAAACCCGGUGAUCUAGCCAUGGGCAGGUUGAAGGUUGGGUAACACUAACUGGAGGACCGAACCGACUAAUGUUGAAAAAUUAGCGGAUGACUUGUGGCUGGGGGUGAAAGGCCAAUCAAACCGGGAGAUAGCUGGUUCUCCCCGAAAGCUAUUUAGGUAGCGCCUCGUGAAUUCAUCUCCGGGGGUAGAGCACUGUUUCGGCAAGGGGGUCAUCCCGACUUACCAACCCGAUGCAAACUGCGAAUACCGGAGAAUGUUAUCACGGGAGACACACGGCGGGUGCUAACGUCCGUCGUGAAGAGGGAAACAACCCAGACCGCCAGCUAAGGUCCCAAAGUCAUGGUUAAGUGGGAAACGAUGUGGGAAGGCCCAGACAGCCAGGAUGUUGGCUUAGAAGCAGCCAUCAUUUAAAGAAAGCGUAAUAGCUCACUGGUCGAGUCGGCCUGCGCGGAAGAUGUAACGGGGCUAAACCAUG
rnacentral:rRNA from 1 species